rnacentral:rRNA from 1 species
UGGCUCAGGACGAACGCUGGCGGCGUGCCUAAUACAUGCAAGUCGAACGGCUUUUCUAUGGAAGCUUGCUUCCACUGAGAAGAUAGUGGCGAACGGGUGAGUAACACGUGGGUAACCUGCCCAUAAGAGGGGGAUAACAUCCGGAAACGGGUGCUAAUACCGCAUAGUUUUCUUGAUCGCAUGAUUGAGAAAGGAAAGACGGCCUUUGUGCUGUCGCUUAUGGAUGGACCCGCGGCGUAUUAGUUAGUUGGUGAGGUAACGGCUCACCAAGACGAUGAUACGUAGCCGACCUGAGAGGGUGAUCGGCCACAUUGGGACUGAGACACGGCCCAAACUCCUACGGGAGGCAGCAGUAGGGAAUCUUCCGCAAUGGACGAAAGUCUGACGGAGCAACGCCGCGUGAGUGAAGAAAGGUUUUCGGAUCGUAAAACUCUGUUGUCAGAGAAGAACAAGUUGGAGAGUAACUGCUCCAGCCUUGACGGUAUCUGACCAGAAAGCCACGGCUAACUACGUGCCAGCAGCCGC